rnacentral:lncRNA from 1 species
AAUCACAACCGAAGGUAAUCAAUUCAUAUUACAAAUAUAUUUCAUGGCUUUGAAUUAACCUCUAGCCAAAAUAAAAUUAAUUACACAUUAUUAAAACAAAAAUAAAAUAGAGAUUUAGAAAGAUUUAACCGAGAGAGAGGAGAGUGCAAUUUUCUGUUCUGUCCACGUGCUGCCAAGUGGCAGAUUUGUUUCUUCACGUUUUUGCACCGCAGGAUUCCUUCUCCACUUGCUUUCUGUCCGAGGCUUCUAGCUGCCAAGAGGCAGCGUCUUUCUGUCUGCACUCUGGUUUUUCCCUGCCGCAAGGCAGCUUGAUGCCGCUUCCUCUUUCAAACUGCCAAAGCAGCUCCUCCUUUCUGCUUCACUUUCACGCUGCCCAAAAGGGCAGCUCCCUCUUUUCCUUCACGCCCCCAUCUGACCUCACAUUUCCUUGCAGUCCCGUACUCACCAUCCCUCACGCUGUCUCUCCUCUCUCUUCUAUUUUUUUAUUUUCCUUUUUUUUUUUCUUUCUGGCAGCAAGGCUGCCUUCUCUUUUCACACUCCGCAAGCCCCUGACUUGCUCCCCCCGUUUUCCUGCGACUCAUGCGCUCUCUGCGAGCUGCCCAAAGGCAGCUCCCCCUUUUUCUUCCGCUCCAAGACACCCCUUGCUGCACGCUGCCA